GUGCCAGGCUUCCCAAUCUUACACAAGGAUUAUGCGGGGACCUCGUUCUUAGACCCGUUGCCAGGAUUCCCCACAGCAGAACCAUCGUAAAGGGGUUAGAUGGCGGUUUUCUGAACGUCAUCUUGGAGCAAUUUCUGACCCUUAAGAAUCAUGAAUAAACACAGCAGUUCCUUGUAUGCAAGAGGGAAAAGUGUAUCAGAUGAAGCUCUUCAUUCCAAAAUGGAAGAAGAAGACAGUGUUUCCGAGGAAAUGGAGCCAUAUUUAGUACGCAGGCUUUCCUGUAGAAAUAUACAGCUUCCUCCGUUGGCAUUUAGACUGGCAGAGCAAGCAGAAUGGGACAGAAAGCCGGAUACUGAGAGUCCGCAGCGGCCAAAUUUCCUAGCACUGAGGAUUCCUCCGCUGAUUGCAAUCACAGCUGCCGACUCCACAAGGUAGGACAUGAUUAUACCCAAAUACUGUUCCCUCUAAGUCACUUUUGCUAAUACGAG